CCAAGCCGAGUUCCAGCCUGCUGGGGAGUGGCUGGGAGCCCAAGGGGCAUUUCAGAGGGGCCUCACGAGGGGACGCCUUCAGGCACGGGCGGAAAUUGUGCGUCCUCCUCGGGCUGUGCAGCAUCCUCAUCUUCCCUGUGGGCCUUGAUGAUCCACCGAAUGUUCGCCCGUUCCACGCUGGCUUAAAAUAGAAACGACAGCUCCACAAAGGCGUCUUUCCUCCUCCUACUUUGCCCUCCCUCAACAUCGUCAGCCUCCCCCCCCAAGCGGCACCAGUACCGACACCACUGCGGCCAUUGCGCGUCAUCUGCGACAUGCACUGCGUGAGAGCAGCCGCAUCAUCACCGCAUCUCGCUUCCACGCACUCGCAGAGUCGCAAGCCCCAGCCAGCCAGCCAGCAAGCCUCGGACGGCCCACUAACCAUCAUUGGCGGGGGCUGCAGGCGGAGCCCAUCGAGCUGUCACUCAAAGGGAGGAAAAAUAACGGAAUUGAUGCAAAAGUGUCAAAAUGUAAUGUCAUUUUUUUUAUAAUCACGAUAAUAACAAUAUCCAUCAAAACUAUUUUCAUUUCAGAAAAAUCUUGGUUUCUUUUUAUUAUACUGCUUUUUUCCCCCUUGUGUUCCUAUUGUAUCCCUUAGCGCUCAGAAAGACUAAAACUGAAUUGAAUUAUUAUUACUGUUAA